UACACUCCUGCGGGAGGCAGCAGUGGGGAAUAUUGGACAAUGGGCGCAAGCCUGAUCCAGCCAUGCCGCGUGAGUGAUGAAGGCCCUAGGGUUGUAAAGCUCUUUCACCGGUGAAGAUAAUGACGGUAACCGGAGAAGAAGCCCCGGCUAACUUCGUGCCAGCAGCCGCGGUAAUACGAAGGGGGCUAGCGUUGUUCGGAUUUACUGGGCGUAAAGCGCACGUAGGCGGACUAUUAAGUCAGGGGUGAAAUCCCGGGGCUCAACCCCGGAACUGCCUUGUAUACUGGUAGUCGUGAGUUCGAGAGAGGUGAGUGGAAUUCCGAGUGUAGAGGUGAAAUUCGUAGAUAUUCGGAGGAACACCAGUGGCGAAGGCGGCUCACUGGCUCGAUACUGACGCUGAGGUGCGAAAGCGUGGGGAGCAAACAGGAUUAGAAACCCCAGUAGUCCCAU
rnacentral:rRNA from 1 species